ACCCAAGAUGCUAAAUGAAAAGGCUACUUCUCCGUCUUCCCAGAAUUUUUCUGGAGUUGGAGAGAAGAUUUCAUCAGAGAGGUGCCGUGUGAAUGACAGAAGGAUGAACCCUGACUCAGAAAUGUGGAGAACACAUUCCAGCAUGGAUUGUGAUCUGAGAGAAGUCUUGUGGUUGGGGUUUAAGAUAAAGAGAAGAAGGUAGUAUUCAGUGUUGAUUCAUGAAGAGACGGGAUGAAUUAGACCGGCAAGAACAGGCAAUGAAAUGAGCGGGGCAAUAUGGGGUGAAUGGCCCAUUGCACUUGUGCGUAGUGAAGGUUCAUAUGUGGAUCAGAAGUUAGUAGGUCUUUCUACAUUUACUAUGGCUCCUACAUUCCUACUACUACCAUUGGAACUAUCACUCAAUUCAGGACUUUUCUCUAACCUCCAAGAAUGGAUUGUGGGGUAGAAUGGUAGGUUUUCUACAUUAUGUUCUUCUCAUAGGGUGACCCUAUU
rnacentral:lncRNA from 1 species